GCAAAUUGACACCGUAACUUCGGGGGAAGGUGUGCCGCUGGCGGUUAGUGACCUCGCGUCACGAAGCUGUUGGUGGUCGCAGUGAAAUGGCGGUUGUGACUGUUUACUAAAAACACAGGACUCUGCGAAGUCGUAAAACGACGUAUAGGGUCUGAUGCCUGCCCGGUGCUGGAAGGUUAAGGGGAUAUGUCAGCGCAAGCGAAGCAUUGAACCGAAGCCCCAGUAAACGGCGGCCGUAACGAUAACGGUCCUAAGGUAGCGAAAUUCCUUGUCGGGUAAGUUCCGACCUGCACGAAGGGCAUAACAACAUCCGCACUGUCUCGACCAGGGACUCAGCGAAAUUACAUUGGGGGUGAAGAUGCCCUCUACCCGCGGAAAGACGGAAAGACCCCAUGAACCUUUACUGCAACUUGGCAGUGAUUUUCGGGUUGUUCUGCGUAGGAUAGGUGGGAGGCUUUGAAGCCGGGCUUCCGGGUUCGGCAGAGCCAACGUUGAAAUACCACCCUGAAUAAUCUGGAAAUCUAACCUGCGCCCAUGAUCUGGGCGAGGGACACUGCCUGGUGGGCAGUUUGACUGGGGCGGUCGCCUCCUAAAUUGUAACGGAGGCGUGCGACGGUUCCCUCAGGCUGAUUGGAAACCAGCCGUAGAGUGCAAACGCAUAAGGGAGCUUUACUGCGAGACUGACAAGUCGACCAGUUGCGAAAGCAGGUGUUAGUGAUCCGGUGGUACCACAUGGAAGGGCCAUCGCUCAUCGGAUGAAAGGUACUCUGGGGAUAACAGGCUGAUCGCGCCUGAGAGUUCACAUCGGCGGCGCGGUUUGGCACCUCGAUGUCGGCUCAUCGCAUCCUGGGGCUGGAGCAGGUCCCAAGGGUUUGGCUGUUCGCCAAUUAAAGCGGUACGCGAGCUGGGUUUAAAACGUCGUGAGACAGUUUGGUCCCUAUCUUCCGUGGGCGCAGGACACUUGAGAGGAGCUAUCCAUAGUACGAGAGGACCUGGAUGGACGAACCUCUGGUGCUCCGGUUGUCACGCCAGUGGCAUAGCCGGGUAGCCAUGUUCGGAACAGAUAACCGCUGAAGGCAUAUAAGCGGGAAGCUGGCCUCAAGACUAGGUGUCCCUGACGCAAGUCACUAAAGGCCCCUCGAAGACUACGAGGUUGAUAGGCUCGGUGUGGAAGCACAGCGAUGUGCGGAGCUAACGAGUACUAAUAGGCCGUGCGGCUUGACCU
rnacentral:rRNA from 1 species